UACGUAGGGUGCAAGCGUUGUCCGGAAUUACUGGGCGUAAAGCGCACGUAGGUGGCGACGUAAGUCGGGUGUGAAAGCCCCGGGCUCAACCUGGGAAUUGCAUUCGAGACUGCAUUGCUGGAGUACGGAAGAGGAAGGCGGAAUUCCCGGUGUAGCGGUGAAAUGCGUAGAUAUCGGGAGGAACAUCAGUGGCGAAGGCGGCCUUCUGGUCCAGUACUGACACUCAAGUGCGAAAGCGUGGGGAGCAAACAGG
rnacentral:rRNA from 1 species